UGACACGCCACGUGGCACACU
rnacentral:miRNA from 1 species